rnacentral:rRNA from 1 species
AACUAACGCUGGCGGCGUGCCUAACACAUGCAAGUCGUACGAGAAAGUUGGCUUCGGCCGAUGAGUAAAGUGGCGCACGGGUGAGUAAUGCGUGGAUAAUCUGCCCUUUAGUUGGGAAUAACGUACCGAAAGGUGCGCUAAUACCUGAUAAUACUGCAUAACUACUGUUGUGUAGUCAAAGAAGGCCUCUGUUUACAAGCUUUUGCUGAAGGAUGAGUCCGCGUACCAUUAGCUGGUUGGUGGGGUAAUGGCCUACCAAGGCUACGAUGGUUAGCUGGUCUGAGAGGAUGAUCAGCCACACUGGAACUGAGACACGGUCCAGACUCCUACGGGAGGCAGCAGUGAGGAAUAUUGGUCAAUGGGCGAGAGCCUGAACCAGCCAAGUCGCGUGAAGGAAGAAGGUUCUAUGGAUUGUAAACUUCUUUUGUAAGGGAAUAAAAAGAGUUACGUGUAACUUAUUGUAUGUACUUUACGAAUAAGGAUCGGCUAACUCCGUGCCAGC